GGCGAAGGACCGAGAAACAGGUGGUGCGGUUUUUUCUGCACUCGCCGUGUGGUUAACCGUGUAAGAUAGCAUCCAGUGCAGUGAACACUUUAAUCAACGUUCACACAAAAAAAGAAAUAGAAAAAGGAUUAUAAUUCUAGGUGGGGCUGAACAAACACCUACACGAAAAUGCAUGGCUGUGAGGUCAAAUCUUUGUCAUAGUCUUUACACACGCACAGCACAGACAGUAGAUAAGUUUAGAACAAGCAUUAUCUCUCCUUUUCUUUUUUUCUUUUUCCUUUUUUUUUCUUUUUUCUUUUUGGAUUUUAUUUUAUAAAAAUGAGUCGCCUACAUUUUUGUGCCUCAAAAUCUACGGGAUAAUAUUUAUUUUUUGUUUGUUGAAAUUUUGUUUACCUUUUCUUCCAUGGUCAAUGAGGAUUCCGGGAAGUCGGAAGCUGUUCCAGGUACUAGCUUCCAUUGGAGGCGGUAUUUGUCACUUUCAGCGCGUUCGUUGACGACCGGAACAACGUCGGGUCCAGCACCAUCAGGAAUGUCAAUGAUUCCAUCGUAACGAAAUCUUUACGUAUUAAAUAUUUUUUUAAAUUUUCAGAUUUAAGAAAAAAGGUCUAUCUGUUUUAAAGUUGGCGUUAAAGGAUGAGACGGUACCUGUGGAUUAGUGUGCUGGCCAUCUUUCCAAUCGGCCAUAGAGCGGUGUCGGGAUGAGCUUCGACUUUUCGGAUGAGGGCUACCAAGUUCUCUAUGGAUGCGGGCAUCCGGCGGAAUUGGUCGCUGAUGGUUUUGUUUACGUAACAUAACGCCAAGUUGUCGGGAAUGCGGUUUGGCCAUGGAUCGGCUGCCCAAGCCGUUGCCGCAAAUAUCGCUAUUCGUGAUUGGUAGUAAGUAAAAAGAAAAGAGAAAGAAAGAUUUUUUU